UACGUAGGGGGCAAGCGUUGUCCGGAAUCAUUGGGCGUAAAGCGCGUGUAGGCGGCUGAGUAAGUCUGCUCUGAAAGCCCGGGGCUCAACCCCCGGGAGGCGGGUGGAUACUGCUCAGCUCGAGUCCGGAAGAGGAGUGUGGAAUUCCUGGUGUAGCGGUGAAAUGCGCAGAUAUCAGGAAGAACACCCGUGGCGAAGGCGGCUCUCUGGGGACGGUACUGACGCUGAGACGCGAAAGCGUGGGGAGCGAACAGG
rnacentral:rRNA from 1 species